AAUUCAGUUAAGUGCCGAUCUCACAGUCAGCCAGUUUGUCGGACUACAGAGAAGUGAAGCUGACCCCCAGUCUCAAUUACAUCACAAGACACAUUUAAUCACAACUAGUGAUGCACACACGCACAGUCACAAUCAUACCUAUUUACAUUCCUGCACCCUAACAAGUAUAGUUCAACCACGUCAGCCCUGCGAAUGAGUGGAGACAUUUUUCCAAGCCCAAGAGAUUAGGAAUCUGGAGCUUCAUUCUGCCUCACUAACCAGCCCAAAUACACCCCUUCCGCUGCAGAGAGUGGAACAUGUCAUCUCUUGGCUACCUAUAUAGGACAACAUGGUACUCAGGAAAGAAAGAUUCAACAUGGCUUGCCAGGGCGGAGACUGUGGGACACAUCAGCCAUGACAAGAGGAGAUCUGAUGACGAAAAAUACCCCAACCACAAAUAUCUACAAGAAAAUGAAGACA
rnacentral:lncRNA from 1 species